GACGAACCGUGCGAACGUUGUUCGGAAUCACUGGGCUUAAAGGGCGCGUAGGCGGCCCGCCGCGUCCGGGGUGAAAUCCUCCCGCUCAACGGGAGAACGGCCUCGGAUACGAGCGGGCUGGAGGCGGGUAGGGGCAGGCGGAACUGUGGGUGGAGCGGUGAAAUGCGUUGAGAUCCACAGGAACUCCGGUGGCGAAGGCGGCCUGCUGGACCCGAUCUGACGCUGAGGCGCGAAAGCCAGGGGAGCGAACGGG
rnacentral:rRNA from 1 species